AUGCCGCCGAAGCCGCACGCCGCCGGCGGCAGCUUCGAGUACUGCGAGCUGUGCCGCCGCAACCACGACCAGGGCCGGCGCCACCGCUACUUCCCCGCCCACCGCGCCGCCCUCGCCGCCGCGCUCUCCGGCUUCCGCGCCAAGCUCGCCGACCUCCGCCGCGCGCUCCUCCGCCCCUCCGCGCCUGCCCCCCGCUCCCGCCUCUGGUGCCCCUUCUGCUCCGCCGACCUCGUCGACCUCGACAGCCGCUUCGCCUGUAGCAAUGCGAUUUACCAUCUCGCGAGCGAGGAGCACCUGAAGGGCGUCAAGGAUUUCCUGCGGAAGCAUGGGGGCGGGAUGGAUCAGGUCGAUUCGUUUAGGAUUUCAGAGGAUGAGCUUGCCAAGUGGGAGAAGGGCUGUGAGUCCUCCGGUACAGAAGCACAGGCAUUGGCCAAUGGCAUGAUUGGACCAUCUUUGGGGCCGUUGAAAGAUAUCCAAAAUGAAUCUACCUCUAAAAUUUUGGAUAGUUUUGCUGAAACUGACAUCCCAUCUUUUCGUAAUACUGCAUCUUGUGUUGUUAUGCCUUUACAAAGUCCUACCAAUGGGGCCUAUUACCCCACUAGUACAGCGUGUCAUGGAUCUUCCACCUCUGGAAGUGUUGCUUAUUCUGCUCCAUUUGGUACUUCCGGACUGCCUGUCAAACCCUGUGUCACAACACAUGGACAUCAGGGUAUGCCAAGUACAAACGUGUUUCAUAGUGCUGAUGCACAAAUGAAAGGUGCUCAAUCUACUUCCCUCGGAAAUGGACCAAAUCCACCGUCUUCUUCUUUUGUAUAUGUAAGUAUAUAA
rnacentral:rRNA from 1 species